GAUGAACGCUGGCGGCGUGCCUAAUACAUGCAAGUCGAGCGAACGGGCGAGAAGCUUGCUUCUCUGAUGUUAGCGGCGGACGGGUGAGUAACACGUGGAUAACCUACCUAUAAGACUGGGAUAACUUCGGGAAACCGGAGCUAAUACCGGAUGAUAUUUUGAACCGCAUGGUUCAAAAGUGAAAGACGGUCUUGCUGUCACUUAUAGAUGUAUCCGCGCUGCAUUAGCUAGUUGGUAAGGUAACGGCUUACCAAGGCAACGAUGCAUAGCCGACCUGAGAGGGUGAUCGGCCACACUGGAACUGAGACACGGUCCAGACUCCUACGGGAGGCAGCAGUAGGGAAUCUUCCGCAAUGGGCGAAAGCCUGACGGAGCAACGCCGCGUGAGUGAUGAAGGUCUUCGGAUCGUAAAACUCUGUUAUUAGGGAAGAACAUAUGUGUAAGUAACUGUGCACAUCUUGACGGUACCUAAUCAGAAAGCCACGGCUAACUACGUG
rnacentral:rRNA from 1 species